AUGAGCAAGAGAGGCAGGGAUGUGUGGGACAUGGAGCUUGGAGGCCUGGACACGGCCCGCCUGCUCAUGCUCCUCGCGCAGCAGCACCAGCAGCACCACCACCAGCGCGCCGUCGCCGGGGCGGCGCAGGCCAUGGGCGGCGGCCGCGUGUUCGAGUGCAAGACGUGCAACCGGCAGUUUCCCACGUUCCAGGCGCUCGGGGGCCACCGCGCCAGCCACAAGCGCCCGAAGCUGCACGCGGUUGGCAACUCCGACGACGGCGCGGCGCUCUGCCUCGGCCGCCAGAUGCCCUCGGUGCCGCCGCAGCCGCCAAGGCCGAGGGUGCACGAGUGCCCCGUCUGCGGCCUCCAGUUCGCCGUCGGCCAGGCGCUGGGUGGGCACAUGCGCCGGCACCGUGUCGAGGCCGAGACCGCAGCCAGAGCGCCGAGCUGCGAGGCGGCGGCGACCAACACGGAGUUGGCGUCGUGCGACGCCGGCGGGAUCUGCCUGGACCUGAACCUGACGCCUUCGGAGAACUGCGCCAAGUGUAGGAACGUGGCGGGGCUCGGCGCUGCUACCGGGCAGGGUGUACAUAAGGCGCUGAGCGGGCACAUGCGACGGCACCGCGCCGAGGGCGAGGCCGAUGCCGAGGCCCACGAGCCGAGCGAGAAGGAAUGUUUGGAUAAGUUGGGAAAAAGACAACGAUACUUGCAACUAGAUCCUUGUUGUGUUAGAUUGGAAGAUACUGAUGUCUCUGUUUCAAUUUGUUGA
rnacentral:rRNA from 1 species